rfam:Tyto alba contig36053, whole genome shotgun sequence.
CUUGGGAACAGCCUCGCGUGAUGACCCUUCUCCCUCUGAUGGCUGUGGUGGUGAUGAUCAUCGAACCAAAGCCUCUAAGAAGUUGACUGAAGAGGCUGUUCCUCU